rnacentral:lncRNA from 1 species
UGUUAUUGGCAUUUUAACAAACAUGUGAUAUGUGUGAAAAUGAGAGCUUGAAUAGAUAAAGUAACAUCACAUGUGAACAAGCCCAGUGCAUCAAGUCAUUACCAAUCACACCACUUUUGAUCGUUCUAACCAAAUUACAUCAUCCACCAACCAAUUAAGCAAAUAACCCUCAAGUGGGUGUUUCAUCAAACACAUGGUGUGUACUAGCGUAUGGAAGCAAGAAUUUGCA